rnacentral:rRNA from 1 species
CUCAGGAUGAACGCUAGCGGCAGGCUUAAUACAUGCAAGUCGAGGGCUCAGCAAUGGGACCGGCGCACGGGUGCGUAACACGUAUGCAACCUGCCUGUAUCUGGGGGAUAGCCCGAGGAAACUCGGAUUAAUACCGCAUACCACUGAGGGUCGGCAUCGAUUUUCAGUGAAAGAUUUAUCGGAUACAGAUGGGCAUGCGCAGGAUUAGCUAGUUGGUGUGGUAACGGCACACCAAGGCGACGAUCCUUAGGGGCUCUGAGAGGAGUAACCCCCACACUGGCACUGAGAUACGGGCCAGACUCCUACGGGAGGCAGCAGUAGGGAAUAUUGGGCAAUGGAGGCAACUCUGACCCAGCCAUGCCGCGUGCAGGAAGACGGCCCUCUGGGUUGUAAACUGCUUUUAAGUAGGAGGAAAGUGCAGCUUGCGAGCUGUUUUGACGUUACUACUAGAAUAAGCCACGGCUAACUACGUG